GGCUCAGAUUGAACGCUGGCGGCAUGCCUUACACAUGCAAGUCGAACGGCAGCACGGACUUCGGUCUGGUGGCGAGUGGCGAACGGGUGAGUAAUGCAUCGGAACGUGCCAUUGAGUGGGGGAUAACGUAGCGAAAGUUGCGCUAAUACCGCAUAUUCUGUGAGCAGGAAAGCAGGGGACCGCAAGGCCUUGCGCUCUUUGAGCGGCCGAUGUCAGAUUAGCUAGUUGGUGAGGUAAAGGCUUACCAAGGCGACGAUCUGUAGCGGGUCUGAGAGGAUGAUCCGCCACACUGGAACUGAGACACGGUCCAGACUCCUACGGGAGGCAGCAGUGGGGAAUUUUGGACAAUGGGCGGAAGCCUGAUCCAGCCAUGCCGCGUGAGUGAAGAAGGCCUUCGGGUUGUAAAGCUCUUUCGGCCGGGAAGAAAUCGCAUGGGUUAAUACCCUGUGUGGAUGACGGUACCGGAAUAAGAAGCACCGGCUAACUACGUG
rnacentral:rRNA from 1 species